ensembl:lncRNA
UAAAAAGAUAUAUAACAAAAAAUGGAAAUAUUUUAUAUAUUUUCAAAUAGUUUGGAUUGUUAUCAAUCCUAUGGUGACUUAUGUUUCCCACUGUACUGUUAGUCAGAUGCUUCUCCAAUGACAGGAUUAUAUAGUUGCCAUUAGCAUUGCAGCCUGGUGCUUCAUGAGAACUACACAAAUGUUAAUGGAGACCUCUCCUGGAAGCCAGGGAUACUAUAUCAGGAAAUAUUCAGGAUUUAGCAUACCUUCUGAGGUAACUGAGUAACUAGACUAUUAAAUUGCUGCUAUCUGGACCUAUUAUUAAAGGGUGAAGAUUUGCCUGUGUAAUGGAAUGUAUCCUAAGUGGGGAUGUAUAUAUUUAAGGAAUUUUAAUUCACAUGUAUAUAUUGUUAUCUGAUACAUGUAUAGUGCAUUUGUUGGUCAUGUACUUUUUAAUUUACCAUUUGUAUAGAACAUAGAUGAGAACUGUGGGAAAACUUUCCAAUGGCGACCAUCCAAAACCAUUUUUUAAUCAUUUAUUAGAAAUUUCUCAACAAUGACUUUGUUUUCCUUCAGCUCUCUAAACACUUCAGAAAAAAUCCCCUCUCCCAUCACUGUGUUUCAUAUUAGUAUAAACGUAAAUGUACAUAUAUUUGAAUAGUUAAUUUGCUUUGUUUUACCCAUAGCCUUCUCCUUCAUCUUAAAGGGCAUUCAUCACUGCUCAGGGGGUCACAGAAACUCAGCUGACACUGAAUUUUUGUACCAAGAAUGUCAGAGAUGGCAAUGGACUCUUCCAUUAGUAAACUCUGAACGUGGCUUCGCAAAGGCUCUUUAAACAGGGGCAGAUUUCAGUAACUGAAAUGCUCUGAUCUGAGAGGAAGAGCUCAUGAAUUUGGAGUAAAAGUGUAGAAAAGUUCUAUGCUAUAUCCGUGGCAAAACCAAAAGAAACUGUCUUCUCACAGAGAAUUUGUAACAGGAUUAGCUACCUUUGGAAGGGGGGACAGGGCUAGGGAGUAAGGAAUGUUUGUCAAACAAUUUAAAGUAACUGGACUUAAUGAUGUAAAGUGCCUGAAACAUGGUGACUUCUACCUUAAAUAAUGAAAUGUGCGUGAGUUGUCAGAACUAACAAGAACAGGUUGGUAGGCUGAAUCCAGACAUAUCUCUGGUGCAUCAAAGGAGAUGAUGCAAGCCACACUAGACUUCUCCACAAAGGAGAGAGCUGACAGCGUUAAUGUUGGAGCCUGAUAUUUUCAUCUUGGAUAAUUGGCCAGUGACAAGAGUUUAGCUUUGUUUCCUUCCCUUUAGGCUUUAUCCUUUCCUAGAGAUCCUCUUUCUGUCCCAGAACAAGCACAAGUCGACAUAAGACUGGCUGUUAUAACAAAAUCUCCUUGUGUUUGGAGUAGCAUAGUCUGUUUGAAAUAGAAUGUUUAAAUUGGCUAAGCUGUGAUCUGGUAUAAAAACACAACAUCCAGACGUGGUCAGAUAUAAUGGUACAAAUCUGGCCGUUGCCUUUUCUAGGGAUUUUUCUCUUGCUAUUAGACAGGGAAGUGAGGGGAAAGCCAUAUGGAAGCAGAUGUUAGAAUCUUAGGCAUCUUAUUUGUUCAUGCCACGGGUAUUUGCUUUGGACUUGAAAUCUGUACUUUGAAAGUGGCCUUUGAAAAACAAAUAAUUCACAGCGUGAAUUUUUCUUGUCAUCUGCAUCACAGAACUGUUAUCUAUUCAGGUUUGAAAAAUCUACAUGUUUAUUUGAAUGUAAAUCACUGUUGCUUGGAACCUAAAUUUUCUCUUAAAAGUAUUCAGGAUCUAUGUAUGUAUUUCUUUAGCUUUUUGUACUCAGUGCUUCUAAAGGACUUUUCUUUCUGUUUAUGAAUAGCCGCCUUUAUGUGUAUAGAAUUGUGUAUAUGUGUGCAGUUUUAAGGACUAUUUCAGAAAUGCCUUAGAUGAGUGACAUUUUAUAAAGCUGUCAGAAUUAAUAUCUCUAAGCUUUUACAUCUUAUGUUGACUCAUGACCCAGGAUGUUUUGUGAUGUACUUCUGAAAUUGCUGUUGUACUAUAUUUUUCCAGGUCUUUGGGAAGAAAAUAACUGUUUUAGUUUCUCUCGCCCCAAUAAAUGUGAGCAGGAAAUCAAGUGUGUUUACCUUUGUUGUGCCACACAAUUAAAGACACAUUCAGUCUUAUCCUAAUAAGAGCCACCCAAGUUACUGUUAAAAACUAGAUGCAAAAUUUACAAAAAGUACUAGAAUUUACAAAAAAUACCAGCAUUUGCAGUAUGGAAAUAACUCUUGAUAUUUGUUUCUUAAAAGAAACAGGCAAGUAUAAUGGCUUUACUUGUUGAAGACAUUCUUAUUCUGUGUGUGGUAUUCCUUCCUGCUAGUGCUCAAGACUUGAUCAUUGUCCAGAGAAAUAGCCAAUAAUAUAGGUCUUUCUUUCAUCAUUCUGAUAAACAACAUUGCUAGAUGUCAUUCAUCCUCUAAAGUGAGGGCUGGGCUAAGUGCUCUUUAAGAUCAGUUCUAACCUUCCAGAAGUUUGUUAGAAAAAUGUGUUUCCUUGUUAGGUUUUUAAAGAAAGGAUUUAUGUUAGAGUGUUAACUUAAGGUUAUUUCCAUUUGAUUAGUAUUCAAGGCAGGACUUGCCUAAGUUGAGCGCCAGAAGUUGGCUAACAGCUAGCUAGAACUUGUGUUUCUCCAAAACUGAAAGCUCACUUUACUUGUGUUGUUGCCUUUUUAUUGAAUGUUACAUUCCUUCUGACAUGAUUUCUGAAUUCGAAAGUUUAUAAUUGACUUACAAAUCAAAUUUUAUUUUCUAAUCAUUCACUUUUGGGGAAAUCAAUAUGAUCAUGUCAUAACAUUUUUGAGUUGUGGUUUCUUAAUUUUCUUAAUCAUUUCCUAGAAUGUCAACAUUAUUUCAUUUUCAAAGUGUGCUUACUGUUUGCUAAGCUUAAUUUGCAUUCCCAAAGAAAUACUGAAUGAACCAUUUUUUGUAGCAGUGAUUUUAAUCAGUGCCCUACCCAGCACACUCAUUGCAGUGUAAAUUAUAAAUGUAGUGAAUUUGGAAGAGAAUUAUAAUUAAAUUUUUCUGUAAUUCAGUCAUUUUCAUUUGUUAGAUAGCAAAUCUAGUUUUUCUUUGUAUCGUAAAGAUCAUGUCCAACUCUAUAUUUGAAAAAUAAAUGAAUUUCUUCAAAUACUUUAACAGCAA